rnacentral:rRNA from 1 species
UACGGAGGAUCCGAGCGUUAUCCGGAUUUAUUGGGUUUAAAGGGUGCGCAGGCGGGAGAUUAAGUCGGCGGUGAAAUUUUGCAGCUCAACUGUAAAAGUGCCUUCGAAACUGGUUUCCUUGAGUGUAGAUGAAGUAGGCGGAAUUUGUGGUGUAGCGGUGAAAUGCAUAGAUAUCACGAGGAACUCCGAUUGCGAAGGCAGCUUACUAAGCCAUAACUGACGCUCAAGCACGAAGGCGUGGGGAUCAAACAGGAUUAGAUACCCGCGUAGU